rnacentral:lncRNA from 1 species
UUUUACUUUUAUUGCAUUCAUUCAAUAAUAUAGCUUGAAUUAGUUUAAAAGUAAUAAACAUAACAAAUUAAAAAUUUCUCACAAAAACGCAUUUGUUUGUUGUUGUUUUUUUAGGAUACUUGCAUCUGGGAGUCGGAAGGAUACAUAUGCAUCUAUGCACAGCCUCAAAGGAACAAUACAGCCUUUGCCAUUUCUGCACACAGUCCUGAAGACACGCAGCGCUGGCACGAGGCCCUGCGGCAACAUCUCUACAACCUGGAACAGUGGAAGCACUCCUGUGACCAGCUCAUGAAGAUCGGAGCGCCGAAAUCAAAGAAACCCAGCCCGCUGCAGCAAGGAUCUCUUUUUCAUGAAAUAGUAACGCCGUCUUCCCCGAGAAAGGGCCCUGUGAAUCCAGAUCUGUCAAGUGAGAUCCGCACAUUGCUCUCCUCCUACUACAAGGAAAGUCAUUAAUUUCCCGACAAGACAACUCCAAAUGGAAACUCAAAUGAUGAAGAACUGCCGUGACUAAGGGAUCACAAGAUGUGUGGUGUUGAACCUUCAACCUCUGUUUUUUUGUUUUUUUUAUGAGAAAAACAAUCAAAGUGGGAAAAAAAACGUAACUAUACUUAAGUUAUAGUUGCAAAAGAUGUACAUAAUAAAACUAAAGUCAAAUAAACACUUGUUCUCAUUCCGGCUUAAUGGUUGCCUGCGGCCGACCUUUAUUUCUGAAUUUGCCACACGGGUGCCAACUUUAUCAACAAAGACAACAAAAAAAGGAUUUCUAUGAUCACAGCUAACAAAUAAGAAAGCUAAAGGCAUAAUAGGGGUUUUAACUGCUCCCUGGAUCUGUCAAAAUGAAUUUGUUAAAGCAUUUCUGGGCUUGAAUGUCAUUGCGAAACACAUGUGUGAGAUGCAGCAUAGCUUCAAGCUUCAGGGCGUCAUCACUUUGAUAAUUGUCCUGCUGUCAACAUCAGGAGAUUGAAAAAACAUAACACGUCUACCACACAAAUCCAGAAACAGAAUUCAUUUGUGCUGAUGAUCUGUCCCACAUUGUUCCUUCUUUAAUGGCCUUUUAAAUCCCACGAACUAUAAUUACUAUUAUAUAUAUAAUUUGUGCAAAGCAUUCAGCGUCUGGUGGGAGUGUCUGCUGUUUUUAUGCUGCCGUCACUCCAAAGGGGAAAAAAAAAAUGCAUUGCACGCUUUGAUUCAAAGGGUAAAAAUUAAAAUAAUUAUAGUUUGGACUUCCACCAUUUAUUCCAAAAGCAUAGUUAAUACAGUUUAAACAUUCUGAGUGUGUCUUUUUACAUUUUUUUUUUGGAUUAAUGUAG